GUAAAGCAUUCUUAAAGCUUAAUACAAGUUCUUGCUUUCUAAGUGUUCUUCUUGUCUUCUUUCGGUUGUUCUAGCCAAGUGUUGUGCGUGAGUAAGGCUGACUUAGCGCAAGGAGGGUGCUAAGGCCGCACGAGUAGCUUAGGAAAAACAGGUUCUGUGACAAUUAAUCAGAACCUGAGAAAACAAAGAUCGACAGUUGGACUCCUAACUGGAUCAGUAUCAUGGUAUGGUCCACGCAACCCUACCCAGCUCUCCUCCAUGGCGUCCCUCAGCUUUAGAUUAUUGACUCUAAGCAAGAAAGAAUUGAACACACUUGACUCAUUUCAUAAUAUCAGUGGAAUUCGAACUCAUGACUUUUCCGGUAUACAUUCACUUGAUCAAAGUUCACCGAAGGAGACGUCCCUCUAACCAUUUCGAUUAUAUAAUAAAAGAAAGAAGAAAAACCGGUCAUCCAUGCAUGGAUGAGAUCGACGAGCGAUCCUUUGUGGAAGGAUGAGGGGAAGUGGUUCUGAUGGGGCUUGAAACAUGCAGCAUCAGCAUGGGGCUUAAGAGUCUUAUCCUUAAAAACCAAUCAAUCAGGGCAAAGGAGAUAGCUUUGCCAGGUAGCUAGCUAGCCAGCCUUGCUUAUCCUCUUUAGUAGUUGCCCGCAAGUUUGGAGUUCGUUUACAAUUGGUUGACUUGUACAUCAAAUUCUGUUAUGAAAAUAAAUGCAUUACCUGCAGUACAGGUAAAAACUGUUAUGUCUGCGCGGCAAGCUCACCAUCCCCAGCAGCCUCUAUCUUGGUAUAGUUCGAACUUCAAUGUAUCAAACCGGUUUGUUCAGUAAACUUCUGAAACGGUUGGGAUGAUCAUCUCCUUUUGAUUAAGCAUGCAUUGUUUGCUCCUGAGCUUGGAAAUCUCAGGGAUAAGAAAUGCAGUACUGUGAUGUUGUUAUGCAGGCACAAGUUAGUUAUUGGCAUCAUAGUCUUCCCUUGC